GAUGAACGCUGGCGGCGUGCCUAAUACAUGCAAGUCGAGCGAACAGACGAGGAUCUUGCUCCUCUGACGUUAGCGGCGGACGGGUGAGUAACACGUGGAUAACCUACCUAUAAGACUGGGAUAACUUCGGGAAACCGGAGCUAAUACCGGAUAAUAUAUUGAACCGCAGGGUUCAAUAGUGAAAGACGGUUGUGCUGUCACUUAUAGAUGGAUCCGCGCCGCAUUAGCUAGUUGGUAAGGUAACGGGUUACCAAGGCAACGAUGCGUAGGCGACCUGAGAGGCUGAUCGGCCACCUUGGAACUGAGACACGGUCCAGACUCCUACGGGAGGCAGCAGUCGGGAAUCUUCCGCAGUGGGCGAAAGCCUGACGGAGCAACGCCGCGUGAGUGAUGACGGUCUUCGGAUCGUAAAACUCUGUUAUUAGGGAAGAACAAAUGUGUAAGUAAAUAUGCCCGUCUUGACGGUACCUAAUCAGAAAGCCACGGCUAACUACGUG
rnacentral:rRNA from 1 species